CAAAAAACAUAAACACAUGGCACAAAUGCUUG
rnacentral:scRNA from 1 species